rnacentral:rRNA from 1 species
CAGGCUUAACACAUGCAAGUCGAGGGGCAGCAUGGUCCUAGCUUGCUAAGGCCGAUGGCGACCGGCGCACGGGUGAGUAACACGUAUCCAACCUGCCGUCUACUCUUGGACAGCCUUCUGAAAGGAAGAUUAAUACAAGAUGGCAUCAUGAGUCCGCAUGUUCACAUGAUUAAAGGUAUUCCGGUAGACGAUGGGGAUGCGUUCCAUUAGAUAGUAGGCGGGGUAACGGCCCACCUAGUCUUCGAUGGAUAGGGGUUCUGAGAGGAAGGUCCCCCACAUUGGAACUGAGACACGGUCCAAACUCCUACGGGAGGCAGCAGUGAGGAAUAUUGGUCAAUGGGCGAGAGCCUGAACCAGCCAAGUAGCGUGAAGGAUGACUGCCCUAUGGGUUGUAAACUUCUUUUAUAAAGGAAUAAAGUCGGGUAUGCAUACCCGUUUGCAUGUACUUUAUGAAUAAGGAUCGGCUAACUCCGUGCCAGCAGCCGCGGUAAUACGGAGGAUCCGAGCGUUAUCCGGAUUUAUUGGGUUUAAAGGGAGCGUAGAUGGAUGUUUAAGUCAGUUGUGAAAGUUUGCGGCUCAACCGUAAAAUUGCAGUUGAUACUGGAUAUCUUGAGUGCAGUUGAGGCAGGCGGAAUUCGUGGUGUAGCGGUGAAAUGCUUAGAUAUCACGAAGAACUCCGAUUGCGAAGGCAGCCUGCUAAGCUGCAACUGACAUUGAGGCUCGAAAGUGUGGGUAUCAAACAGGAUUAGAUACCCUGGUAGUCCACACGGUAAACGAUGAAUACUCGCUGUUUGCGAUAUACGGCAAGCGGCCAAGCGAAAGCGUUAAGUAUUCCACCUGGGGAGUACGCCGGCAACGGUGAAACUCAAAGGAAUUGACGGGGGCCCGCACAAGCGGAGGAACAUGUGGUUUAAUUCGAUGAUACGCGAGGAACCUUACCCGGGCUUAAAUUGCAGAUGAAUUACGGUGAAAGCCGUAAGCCGCAAGGCAUCUGUGAAGGUGCUGCAUGGUUGUCGUCAGCUCGUGCCGUGAGGUGUCGGCUUAAGUGCCAUAACGAGCGCAACCCUUGUUGUCAGUUACUAACAGGUUCCGCUGAGGACUCUGACAAGACUGCCAUCGUAAGAUGUGAGGAAGGUGGGGAUGACGUCAAAUCAGCACGGCCCUUACGUCCGGGGCUACACACGUGUUACAAUGGGGGGUACAGAGGGCCGCUACCACGCGAGUGGAUGCCAAUCCCCAAAACCUCUCUCAGUUCGGACUGGAGUCUGCAACCCGACUCCACGAAGCUGGAUUCGCUAGUAAUCGCGCAUCAGCCACGGCGCGGUGAAUACGUUCCCGGGCCUUGUACACACCGCCCGUCAAGCCAUGGGAGCCGGGGGUACCUGAAGUGCGUAACCGCGAGGAGCGCCCUAGGGUAAAACUGGUGACUGGGGCUA